GCCGAAGUGCAUGUCCAGUCCUUACUAAUACUUAUGUUAAUCUUCCUCCUCCUCCUCCUCUUCUUCCUUCUCCUUAUUCCUCUUCUCUUCUUAUCUCGCUCUCCUCUUCCUCCUUCUCCUACUCCUCCUGCCAAAGUGAUGUCCUGUCCUUGCUAAUACUUAUGUUAAUCUUCCUCCUCCUCCUCCUCCUCUUCAUCCUUCUCCUUAUUCCUCCUCUUCUUCCUUCUCCUUAUUCCUCCUCUUCUUCACCUAUCUCCUCUCUUCUUAUCUCGCUCUCCUCCUCCUCCUCUUCCUCUUCCUCUCAUCAAAUUGCUCUUUCUUCCUUCCUAUUUCUGUUUUUUUCUUUCUUUUUCAUUCUUGUUUCCUCUUUAACUCCCCACCUCUCUAUCUCUCUCUCUUCCUCUUCUUAUCUUUAAAUCUCUUUCCGCUUCCUCUUUUAUCACAUUAUUCACUCUCCUUCCUUUCUUACAAUCAUUUUCGUUUUCAUUUUUCAUCAUUCAUUUUAAUCCUAAGUUUGUAUGAAUGAGUGAAGAUUAUUGUAUGCAUGUUUUAAGGUAGGCCUAUUUGCUUCAUCAUUCAUAUUAAUCCUGAGUUUGGAUGAAUGAGUGAAGGUGUAUGCAUGUUUUAAGGUAGGCCUAUUUGCUUCAUCAUUCAUAUUAAUCCUAAGUUUGGAUGAAUGAGUGAAGUAUUGUACGCAUGUUUCAAGGUAUCUGUACGCCACUGCUAUGGGUUAUUGAUCAAGGCUGUGUGGUAUUGUAAUAUUAUAAUGUUUUGGUGUGUGGCACAGAACGCUGAACACAAGCCACAGUUACACAUAUUACACUAAUUAAUCACACAUAUAUAUACACAAGACACAUGAUUGCACUUAUUAACACGCUCAUUAUUACAAUAUUUUAGUGUCCUUACGUUACAUUCCAGAUUAACUCUACGCUUUUAAAACCACACAUUCAAUACGUAUGAAGUUUGUAACACUAAAAUCAUAAUUCAACAUUCAACAUCAUUCCCUUUGUAAUAUUAGAACAUUCACUUCAAUCUAUAUUUCUCCCUCUCUUAGUGUGUUACCUAUGCCAAUUUUAUAUACAUAGGCCUAUUAACACUAAACCUUCACUGUCAUUCCCUCUGUUAAUACGUUAUUGAUAGUAGGCCUAUUUUUUUAUGUAUAUUCACAAGAUAUGUUUAACUAAUAACUCGGUAUUGUUUUAUAUAUAUAUGAACACUAAACAGUCACUCCAAAUUCCUUUCUAAGUAAGUUCAUGCAAUUAUUUUACAUAUAUCAACACCUUCAGCUCAUACAAAGAAGUACAAGGUAUGUUUAAUUAAGUUACAGGUGUUAGAGGUCAUGAACUCCUUCUUUUACUCUAUACAGACAAACAAGAAUGGUGGUGGUGGUGGCUGAGUGGUGUGCGUGUUUGCGUGUGUGUGUGUGUGUGUGUGUGUGUGUCCGUGUGUGUGCGUGUGUGUGCGCAGUAAUUCUCUACCUCAGGACCAAUAUAUAGUACAAAGGUCAUGACAACUCCACUUCAAGGGUGCCUGUGUGGGGCUGACCUCCGGGUGACCUCUGACCUCACCCCGGGGCACCUCAGGACGACCCCAAGGUGUGUCAAGGUGUGUAUUAGCUGGCCAGUCAGAUUGUGUUGCUAGUGUUGCCAUUGUGUUUCUUUGGGCAGUCAUUGUGUUGCCAUAGUGUUUCUUUGGACAGUCAUUGUGUUGCUAUAGUGUUUCUUUGGGCAGUCAUUGUGUUGCCAUAGUGUUUCUUUGGGCAGUCAUUGUGUUGCCAUAGUGUUUCUUUGGGCAGUCAUUGUGUUGCCAUAGUGUUUCUUUGGACAGUCACUGUGUUGCCAUAGUGUUUCUUUGGGCAGUCAUUGUGUUGCUAUAGUGUUUCUUUGGACAGUCAUUGUGUUGCCAUAGUGUUUCUCGGGACAGUCAUUGUGUUGCUAUAGUGUUUCUUUGGACAGUCAUUGUGUUGCUAUAGUGUUUCUUUGGGCAGUCAUUGUGUUGCCAUAGUGUUUCUUUGGGCAGUCAUUGUGUUGCUAUAGUGUUUCUUUGGACAGUCAUUGUGUUGCUAUAGUGUUUCUUUGGACAGUCAUUGUGUUGCCAUAGUGUUUCUUUGGGCAGUCAUUGUGUUGCUAUAGUGUUUCUUUGGGCAGUCAUUGUGUUACUAUAAUGUUUCUUUGGGCAGUCAUUGUGUUGCUAUAGUGUUUCUUUGGGCAGUCAUUGUGUUGCUAUAGUGUUUCUUUGGACAGUCAUUGUGUUGCCAUAGUGUUUCUUUGGGCAGUCAUUGUGUUGCUAUAGUGUUUCUUUGGGCAGUCAUUGUGUUGCCAUAGUGUUUCUUUGGGCAGUCAUUGUGUUGCUAUAGUGUUUCUUUGGGCAGUCAUUGUGUUACUAUAGUGUUUCUUUGGGCAGUCAUUGUGUUGCCAUAGUGUUUCUUUGGAUAGUCAUUGUGUUGCUAUAGUGUUUCUCCAGUGAGUCAAUGGUUGUGUUGCAUCUAUGUCACCUGUCCAUAAGUUUGUGUUACCAGGUCAUCGGUUAAGUUGUGUUGCGUGUUUACCAGUGUUAGUGUUGCCUGGCUGGGGGUCAUUCAGGUCACUCAGGUUGUCUUGUGUCAGUGCGUUUUGUGUUUCAUGGGUCAGGUCAGGUCAUGUGUUGCAGGUACCUCAAGUCCAUAGUGCCCCAGUGUUGCAUAUGUGUUGCUGGUCAGGUUGUGUUGUAUCAGUCAGUCAGGUUAUGUUGUAUUAGUCAGUCAGGUUGUGUUAUGGUCCAGUGUGUUCCUAUUCAAGUUGCAGUGUUACCUCAGUCUAUGGUGUCCCAGUGUUGCAUUUGUGUUGCUGGCCAGUGUUUUGUAUCAUCAGUCUGUCAGUCAGGUUGUGUUGCAUUCCAGUGUGUUCCUAUUCAAGUUGCAGUGUUACCUCAGUCUAUGGUGU